GGCGCAGGCGCACUCCUCAUGGGUGGCCGCCAUGGCGCCGCUGGACGCAUAUGCACGUUGCCUCAUCCAGCAUCGAUGCUGCAGGGCCGCUUCCAGUCCUGCAUCUCCAGGCUGUGACUCAGGGACGCAGCCACUGUUAGCCCAGGAAUAUUUCCAGUGGUCUCAUGUUCCUGACUUUGACUGUGGGUUGAACUGCUCAGCUGAAACUUCUGAGAAGUCAAUGGCUGGAAUUUCAGAUUAUCUUGAGAACAGACUAGCGACAGAAGCUCCAUAGUGACUGGUGCCCUCCACCUGCAAGAUGAUGUCUCCACCAGCAAGAAAGUCAUCACCAGAUGUGGCCUCUCAAACCUGGACCACUGUCACAAGUCAGGGUCUGCAUUAUCAGGAAGUUGGAAUCAGGAGCUGGAGUUGGAAAUUGAACCUGGGCACUACUAUGUAAGUCACGGGGGUCUUAACCAUAAGGUAAAGGGUUACUCAGUUUUACAAACUUUCUCCCUAAUAUCUCUGAAGUUUUCUUAGGAUUAGUCCAUAACAUGUACAACUUCUACCUCUCUAAGGACUUCAUUUACAUUUUUGCAGUUCACCAAAGUUUAGUUUACAUCCAAACUUUCUUGGUUUGCAUUGUAAUGUGGUUUACUGAAUUUAUACAGUGGUAGAUCCAGCAUUGUAACUGAGGUAUACAUGUUCAUCAUUCCAAAUGUUUUCUGUGUCACUUUACGAUUAGCUCCAUCACCUAUUCCCAUCACUAAUCAAAUCAGGGCUGGGCAAUCACUGUCUAGGUUUCAGUUUCUGUAUUUUUCCUCUUCUAGAAUGUCCUGUGACUACACACUGCAUAAGCAUUUAUGUCCACAUUGACUUAACUGUUAUGGAUAUGUGGGCCUGAUGUUGCAUAUGCCAGUGAUUUGUUGUUUUAUUUGAGUUAAUACUCAAAGUAUGCAUAGGCCACAAUAUCUUUUAGUACAAAUCCAAUUUGUUGAGUAUUUGGGCUGUUUUAAAGUUGAGGGUUGCUCUGAAUGAAGCUUGUAAGUAUAUCACCAGCUGUUCUGUGAACUUAUGUCUUCUCAUUUCCUGAGUUAAUAACCAGAAGUAGUAUCUCAGGGUCUUAAGGUAUGUAUUAAUUAAUAAGACACUGCAAAGGCUUUUUCUAUAAUGAUUGCAUUGCUUAGCAUUUCAGCCAGCAAUUUAUGAUAUUUCUGCAAGUUCUGAAUCCAUGAGAUCAUAUUAAUCUUUCUGUUUUUUAAAAUAAUAGCUAUUAUGGUAGUAUGUCAUGAUACCUUAUUGUGAUUUUUUAAAAUUUAUUUAUUUAUUUGAAAGAGUUACACAGAGAGAGAAGGAGAGGAAAAGGUUGGGGGAGGUUUUCCAUCCACUGGUUCACUCCCCAAUUGGCUGCCACAGCCAAAGCUGCGCCAGUCUGAAGCCAGGAGCCAUUAGCUUCCUCUGGGUCUCCCACUAGGGCACAGGGAGUGUGGACUUGGACCAUCUUCCACUGCUUUCUCAGGCCACAGCAGAGAGCUGGAUUGGAAAUGGAGCAGCCAUAUGGGAUGCUCACACUGCAGGUGGUGGCUACACCCUGCUAUGCCACAACUGGCCCCCUUAUUGGGAUUUUAAUUAAGAUGUUCAACAGGUAUUUAUAUUCUUAGUUGUAAAUCUUAUCUUCUUUGAUGAGUUACCUAUUCACUGAGAUAUCUAAUUUUUAAUUGGAUGAUCUCUAUGUUAUAAAUGAUUUCCAUUUAUUGCAGAUAAAAGUUCAUUACAAACGUGUAAUUGGGAAUUGCAUUUCUGUAAUUCUGUGACAUGCCUCUCUUAAUCAUGUUCAAGAUGAACAAAAGCAUUGAAUUUUGACAAUUUCAUUUAUUAGUGUGUGUUUCAUUAUUGAUUCAUUGUUCAUGGAUUUUCUGUCAUAUUGAAAAAUAAACUAUUCUCUAACACAAUUGUAAAAUUAUUUUUCUUUCUUAUUACUUCCUAAGGAAACUUUAUAGUGUUUGGCUUUCCAUUUAGGUCUGUCAUCCAUUUAAUAUUGGAUAUUAUAUACAGUCAAGAUAUGAGGUGAAGUUACUUUUAUGUUAAUUUUAAUUGAACUAGCACGAUUUGUUGAGAAGACUUCAAUUAAUUUAUUUUGAAGAAUUAGUACUUUUAACUUUGUAAAAAUUAGCUGAAUAUGUAUUGUGAGUCUACAUCUGAAGUCUAUUAAGUAGUUUCUAUUAAAGUAGUUUUAUUAAUCCACAUGUCUAUUUUUUGGCAGUUCUAUACUAACUUGAUUAUUUUAGUUUUAAAAGUUUAUUAAAAGAUGGUAGGCUAAUAUAGAUUCUCUAUAUAAUGAUACACAACUUUAAAUCAGCUUAUCAAUGUCUUCAAAAACUCUGCUGUUGGGGCUGGAGCUUUGGCAUACCUGGUUAAGCUCAGACUAAAAUGUUAGCAUCCCAUAUGGGCACCAGUUCAAGACCCAUGUGUUCCACUUCCUAUCUGCCUCACUGCUAAGGAAUCUGGGAAAGCAGUAGAAGAUGGCUCAAUUACUAGGGCCCCAAAAUCCACAUGGGAAACCCUGAAGAAGCUCCUGGCUUAGGCCUAGCCCAGCCCCAGCCAUUGCACCAUUUCGGGAGUGAACCAGCAGAUGGAAGACUCUUUGUCUCUGUCUCUGUCUCUCCUUCUCUCUGUAUAUUUGCUUUUUGAAUAAACAAAAUUUUUUAAAAACCUGCUGUUGUUUUGAUUGUGAUUGCACUGAAUAUAGAUAUUUAUUGAGAAAAUUGCUUCUUUAACAAUGUAGAUUUUCAGCCUAUAAACACAGGACCAGUAUUUGUCUAUCUGGGUAUACUUUAAUUACUUUCGUUAAUCUUUUGUAAUUUGAUACAUAUGAUUAUUUCAAAUAUUUUCUUUGUUUUCACAACUAAGUUUAUUAGUGCUAUCAUCAAUGUU